CAGAGGCGACGGGACGCUCACUGAAUGCUGGGAGCCGGAGCGAGGCGGAGCACUGCCCCGCUGAAGUCGCCGUCAUGCUGACUGUUGUUCUGAUCGCGGGUCUGGUGCUGGCGGUACUUUGGUCACUGCGGGUGAAACGACCGACCAACUAUCCACCCGGGCCACCGAUGUUCCUGAUCUUUGGCAACCUGUUCGAAACGUUCAGAUCUCUCAAAGGAGACUUCGAAGUAAUGGUCAAAGAACAUCGCAAAAAAUAUGGAGACAUUAUGGCCUACAUUAUGCCAGGAAACUUCAAGAUUGUUCAUCUGCUAAAUUACGACUUGAUCAAGGAAUCGUGUGCCAGACAGGAGUUCAGUGGAAGGCCUAGCAACUUCAUAGUUCUUUACCGAAGCUUCCAGAAGAAGCUAGGAGUGAUCCUCAAUGACGGUCCUGCCUGGCAGGAGCAUCGACGCUUUACCCUGCGGCACUUGCGUGAUUUGGGUUUCGGAACUAACUCCAUGGAGACGAUUAUUCUGGAGGAGUUUGAGCAUCUGGCCAAAGAAAUGGAGCAAGACAUGCACUCCCCAAUGAAGGUAAAUCAAAGGUUUAACUUGACGGUACUGAACGUGCUCUGGAGACUGGUUGCUAGCAAACGCCUGGAUCGCAGCGAACCUGAAGCUAAACAGAGGGUCAAAGAAGUGAAUGAUUUCGUGACCAUAACCGGUCCUAGUAAUCCAUUAAGCAUGUUCCCGUUUCUGCGCUUCAUCAGCCCAAACUCGUUUGGCUUGAAGGAGCUGAAAAACAACAGGGACAACUCACUAGCUAUGUUUCAAGAGCUGAUGAAGGAGCACCGCCAGACGCUGGACCGCGCCGCGCCUCGUGACUUCAUUGACCGCUUCCUCAUCGAGAUGGAGUCACCGGACGCGGCGGCACGCAGCUUCACCGACGAGAACCUCUCUAUCGUCUGCAUGGACCUGUUUCUGGCGGGCAUGGAGACCACCUCCACGUCUCUGACCUGGGCGCUGCUGCUGAUGGUGAUGCACCCGGACGUGCAGACGCGCGUGCAGCAGGAGAUUGACGCCGUGCUGGGUGUGGGCGCCGAUCGCCGUCUGCCCUCCUACACCGACCGCGCCAACAUGCCGUACACAGAGGCCACCCUGCAGGAGGUGUCGCGACGCGCCACCGUGGUGCCGCGCGCCGUCGGCCACUCGGCGCUGCAGGACGCCCCGCUCGGCGGCUACACCGUGGCCAAAGGCUCUCUGGUUCUGAUGCACCUGGACGUCGUCCACAUGGACCCCGCCUACUGGGGAGAUCCGGACACCUUCCGACCGGAGCGCUUCAUCAACGCCGACGGCACGUUCCGGCGCGACGAGCACGUCAUCCCGUUCGGCAUCGGCAGGAGGUUCUGUCUCGGCGAGUCGCUGGCGCGCAUGGAGAUGUUCGUGCUGUUCACCUGUCUGCUGCAGCGGUUCCGGUUCUCGGCAGCUCCCGGACAGACCCUGAGUCUGGAGAGCCGUGUCGCUGCCGUUCGGCAGCCGAAUGAGUUCUUCGUGAACAUCCAGCUUCGGGGCUGAAGGCCCCCCACUCUCCCCAAUGUGGCCAGGCGUAGGUACCUGACUGGCUGAGCUCGAUGCGAGAGAGACUGAUGAGAAACUGGGACAGCUAUUGUCAUGUACAUAGGUACUGUUAUGUAGCUGUUAAUCAUUGUUUACGUGUCUAAUAUCGCUCUGCACAGUGUUGCGGUGGUGAUUGGUUCGCACAAUGCUUUCGUUGAUUGUGACGCACGUCGUUUGGUGCUGAUGAACAGCGUUUACGCAAGGCAAUACUUAAAUGCACAAUCAUGGUGUUGUUAUAUCUUACCCUAGAUCGAUAAUGAAACGAAUGUCUUGCCAAUUUCACGUCAAAGUGUAUCUUUCUUGCAUGUAUACUCUUUGCACAACGCGAAAUGACUCUGAUCGCAAUGCAUUUAAGCAAAUACAACAUGCAAUAAAUCUGAGUGGAAAAUUG
rnacentral:misc_RNA from 1 species